UUCUUUAUCAAAAACUCCUUGGCCAUUCCUUGCCUCUCUUUGCCCCUCGCCUGUUCUCUCUGAAAAUCUCUCUGCUAACACGGAGGUCAUGUAUCCCUCGACCCCUGCACCAGCUCUGAGAGAUUUGCCCAGGCUGAGCCUUUCCAAUGGCAGGUGCCACACCUCAUCCUUGCUCUCAGUGUCUUGGUCACCUCCUUCACGUUCGUAGAUGAGUCAUCUUUCCACAAAGUCCUCCUGCUCACCGCCUUGAGCUUCUCUUGAACUCCAUGUCCAGGUGAGGGCACUCCUGCUGAGACAACUCAUGUGUGGUUGAAAUGGAGGUUCCUGGAACACUCCUUCCUUCCUACAUAGGCUCCCGAUCCCAGCCCCCCUUCCAGGUGAAUGUACCUCACUUUUGCUGCUUUAUCUUAUGUGCACCAUGCUUUCUCCCCCCACAUCACCAUAAGUUCCCACCCCAGGGAGCUCUUAUAAGAAUUAACCAGGUAGCUGGGCAGUGCUGGUGCACACAUUUAAUCCUGGCUCUUGAGAGGCAGAGGCAGGCAGUUGCAGUAUUCAGGGAGGAAAGGAGCCAAUGCUGCUGACACCAGGAAGUUGCUGAACUCAUGGAGAGAGGAAACUUUGCCAACUGCAUUUCCCUGAGUGUCUGGUUGAGUUCUAGAGAGUACGUUUGAUGGGGAAAGAUGAAAUGAGAAAAGGCAUUUGAGAUCAAGGGCUGUUUGUUUAGUCUUAAGAUGAAAUAAGAGAUCUGAUUUGUGGGACUGAAAAGAUGGCUCCGCAGUUAAGAGCACUUUUUGCUCUUCCAGGGGAUCCAGAGUCAAUUCCCAGCACCACGUGGCAGCUCACAAUGCUCUGCAGUUUGGGUUCCCAAAACUGUGACACCCUACUGGGAC
rnacentral:lncRNA from 1 species